rnacentral:rRNA from 1 species
UACGUAGGGUGCGAGCGUUAAUCGGAAUUACUGGGCGUAAAGCGUGCGCAGGCGGUUUUGUAAGCCAGAUGUGAAAUCCCCGGGCUUAACCUGGGAAUGGCAUUUGGGACUGGGAGACUUGAGUGUGGCAGAGGGGGGUGGAAUUCCACGUGUAGCAGUGAAAUGCGUAGAUAUGUGGAGGAACACCGAUGGCGAAGGCAGCCCCCUGGGUUAACACUGACGCUCAUGCACGAAAGCGUGGGGAGCAAACAGG